AUUGAGGUGUAUCCUGGUGGAGCUUCUUCACUAGUUGCAAAUUGUUGGAAACAUCUCAUAAAGUAACUGGUUUUGCUUACUCAAGACUAUUUCUUAGGCCUGUGGGAGGGAAGUAUAAGACAACA
ensembl:snoRNA